rnacentral:lncRNA from 1 species
UAAAGGCCAAUGAAAACGGCAUGGUACUGUAGCUGAAACUAGGAUAAUUUAUCUUUAAGCAACCCGAUUUAUCUUUAAAACUUCACAACAUCAUACUUGGUAGUACAUGUGUUGAUAUUCCUUAGAGAUAUCUUCAAAGCCUAAUGGAAACUCAGGGUUGUUUCACUUGUUGCAGGUGUGAUAGGUAUAUCAUUGGAAGCAGUUUUUAACAGAUCUGAGCCCUACAGCCAUUUUGUGUGUGUGUGUAAAAAUACCUUAUGGCAACUGCCUACAUUCCUUUUUUGAGCACUGCAGUGGACAAAUGGAAAGAGAGGAUCUGCUGACAGAGAUGGCAAUAUAUUUUCUCCUCUGA